AUUGAACGCUGGCGGCAUGCCUUACGCAUGCAAGUCGAACGGCGGCACGGGUGCUUGCACCUGGUGGCGAGUGGCGAACGGGUGAGUAAUAUAUCGGAACGUACCUUAUCGUGGGGGAUAACGCAGCGAGAGCUGUGCUAAUACCGCAUAAGCCCUAAGGGGGAAAGCAGGGGACCGUAAGGCCUUGCGCGAUUAGAGCGGCCGAUACCUGAUUAGCUAGUUGGUGAGGUAAAGGCUAACCAAGGCAACGAGCAGUAGCUGGUCUGAGAGGACGAUCAGCCACACUGGGACUGAGACACGGCCCAGACUCCUACGGGAGGCAGCAGUGGGGAAUUUUGGACAAUGGGGGCAACCCUGAUCCAGCAAUGCCGCGUGAGUGAAGAAGGCCUUCGGGUUGUAAAGCUCUUUUGUCAGGGAAGAAACAGCAGCUCUAAUACAGUAUGCGAAUGACGGUACCUGAAGAAUAAGCACCGGCUAACUACGUGCCAGCCGCCGCCGUAA
rnacentral:rRNA from 1 species